rnacentral:rRNA from 1 species
UGCGUAGGCGGUUCCUCAAGCCCGUUGUGAAAGCCCCGGGCUCAACCUGGGAAUGGCAGUGGAAACUAGGGGACUGGAAUCUGGCAGAGGGGGGUGGAAUGCCGCGUGUAGCAGUGAAAUGCGUAGAGAUGCGGCGGAACACCGAUGGCGAAGGCAGCCCCCUGGGCUGAGAUUGACGCUCAGGCACGAAAGCGUGGGAGCAAACA